CAGCACUUAAAACAACACCCAAGGAACCAGGAAUGAUUUUGGAGGAGCGUGGCCGCAGGUGCCGUCUGUCUCCAACGCCAACAGACAGACAGGGACAUUUGCUGGCUUUUUGGAGAAAUCUUUCUGGAGCAGGUCCUAAUGAGAGGUGAAAUUCCAAACCAUCGAGCUGGAUAUGCUGAAAAGGACGUGGUCCCCCAGCCCAGGGAAAGGAUAACCACACCUCAUCCCAAGCCCUGAGCCCGGGACAGCACAGAAGGCACACCAAGCUUGAUCCAAAUAAUAAAAAUGAAGUGAUUCCAAUUUCCAGCAUGAAGCAAAAGGGAAAAACAAGGUGCCAGGAAUUCCAUGGCAUCAACGUGAAGAUAAAAGCAGAGAUGCAGCAGGAAGAUAAAGAGAUUAGAGUAUCAGAAUGAUUACAAAUCUUGCCCGUAGCAGUGCCUGUUCCCAAGGCUGCCUGCCAUUUCCCAACGAUAAGAUCCAGGUUUUCCAGGCUGGGUAGUGUUUCUUUUUCUCCUGUUUGUGCUGGAAAGCUCCGAGCUAUUUUUCACUUCAGGCUCCGAGAUAUUUGUGCUGAAAGGUUCAGCCAUUUCUACAACGGAGGUUAUAGAAAACAAAAAAGACAAAGCUGUUCUGUUGAGAAAAGAGAGAAGCUGAGAUUGGUUAAGUUUUGCCACACUGGCCAAGAAUGUGUCCUGUGAAACACCUGUGAAAAUCCAAAUUUAGCCAAAUUAUGAGUCUCCAGAAAACUAUUGCUCAUAUAUAAUCAGGGUUCAUGUGUGGUUCCUGAGCAUCUGCUGCUGAGGGAAAUGUGCCCUCAGUCCAGUGCAGGGUACAAAAUGACAGUGAAAUGGAAAACAAGUUUGGGUUGGUUUUUUUUAAAGAAGGUAUAUAAUGCUAUUUUUAGAAACAUUUUUCAAAUUAUCCUAAAAUUAAAGAAGUGCAAGUAACCAAUGCUUUGAUUUGAGCAAUAACCUCACUGACAGCACCUUCCUGAUCAUGUUUGCUCUUUCCAGUACCUGUUUUUAGGUCUGUACUUUUUAUAAGUACCCAUUAGUAGCUAAAAUAUAACUCUGAAUGAGAAGAACCAUGGAGGAAUGAAGAGAUGAAGAAAUGGGAAUUAGAAAUUUGUAUCCUUUGUUUCACAGCAUUGACCUGUCCUUUCACCCAUAACCAUGAAAAAAUGCUUAAUAAUUCAUAUGCCCUUGAUUCAGGACAGAACCAGGGGUAUUCCAAGAAUUCCCUCAGCCUUGUUUCAAGCAGAGUUUGCUUCUCCUUCACAAUUUUUUUGGGGUCAUUCCUGGUGAACUGCCAGGCUCUAACAGAAUUCCCACUAAACUGGGGGCUGUGCUGCUAAAAGGGGUUAUCCCAGAUAUUUUAUGGACAAAGAAGAUGUGCUGAAGUAAGGAAAGUUCCCCAGCCUAGAACUAGGAUGAGGUGGUGAGCCUGUGGAACCACAGCUUCAGGAAGAGGCUCCAGCACCCUUUCCUGCUGCCUGGGAAAGCACAGCCAAAGCUCAGGUGUGUAUAGUGAGAACAGGAUGAACACCCUGACAUGUGCCAGGCAAACUGUUCACAGCCAAACAGGCUCUCUCUCAGGCAAUCAUGGCAUUAUUUAAAGGUCAUGACUUAGAAAUUGCCAGGACUGCAGGACAAGUGGUUAAAAAAUGCCAUCUGCUUUUAUGGUUGUAAUCAUCCCAAACUGCUGGACUACAGCUUUCCUGCACUGGGAUAAAUGCUGUUUGUGAUAUGAUUGUAUCAUUGUGCCAUCCUAGGAUUAUUUUUCCUGUAUCAUGAAUCUCUGCUUUAACACCAUGCUCCCACACUGGUGUUUUUCCAGGAGAAAGAGAUGUGCCCAGACCCCAAAUAACUGACAGAUAAGAAAAUACCAGUAAAUUCCUGACUGGAAUACCAGUAGGCUCCAAAGUUUCUGGCUUUGUCUCCCACUUUCUCCCUCUGGGAUCUGCAGGAGCAGCAAACCAAGACCCUCAGGCCCUUUCAUCAGCUUCCAGCACCCACCCCACCCUUUCCUCUGCCUGCCUUUUCCUCAUGGCAGGGAUGCCUCUGCCUCUCCCUCCCCGUGUUUAACACUUGCUUAAACAUUUCAGCCCUGCAAUGCCGAGAGUUUGAAGCCUCCAAGUUUGUUUUCUCCCUUCCAUCAUCCCUGGGAUAUUUAGGAUAAAAUUCAACGUAAAAUGAGAGACCACAGCAGUGAUUCUGUGCUCACAUCAGGCUGUCGCAGUGCUGAGCUGUGCAGCUGGGCACAAUGCUCACUUUGAAAUCCCACACCACACACGUGAUGGCUUUCAUUAAAUAUAUUAUCUGGUGAUGAUGGUGCUGUGGAAAGAACGCUCUCACAGGCAAACUCACUGCAGAGGGAGGAGACCAAGGCAUUUUUUCCAUUUUCAUUGCUGGCUGUAAUCUGCAGGGGAAUGACUGAUUAAGUGGGUAGAUGUUGCUCUAGGAGAUAAAACUUGGAGUUUCGAGUCUUAAAGGUCCUCGCACUGAUACUUGUGAAAAUGGGUGCUUGUGAGAGUGCAGACCUAAAACCAGGGUUAUACAGAUGCUCUCCCAAUCAGGAAUUAAUGAAAUGUGUUCAAGGAACUGUUAUUUCUGAUGUAUAACACGGUUUGUCAUCUGCACAGAAGAAAACAAGGUUUAGAGGAGCAGUUCCCAGAUGCAUUAAUCAAUUGCUACUCAAAAAAUUCCACCCUAAAUCCAAGAAUGAGAGUUGCUAUCCUUGGUUCAAUCCAGCGUGCAACUUGUAGCUCUCAGGAGUGAGCAAAGAUCAAACUUAUUGGGAAAGCAAGAAUUGCAGCCAAAACUAACACAAAACUGUAACUUCCAGAGGAAAUAUUCAGAGGCAUAAUGAGAGGGAUGGGAAACUAAACAUGGAAAUCAACAUGGGGAAAUGAAGCCCUCAGACUUGGCCUGUAUGCUGAUGACCACAAUCAAAUUAAGGCAAAUUGAAAAGGGGUCAGAUGAGAAAAUAAAAUCAAGCACAUGAACUGGGAGAUGAUACAGAGCAGGAAUUGCAGCAAAGCAAGAAGUAGGAGCCUCAUGCAAACGUUCAUUUUCUCUAUUUUUAUUCUGGAUUUAUACCAAAGGAUUAAAGUUAGUCUUUGCUUUGAGGUUAGAGAUGAGAGCCACAAAGAGUUCCUCAGUUCCUUUCUUGGUGAGGGCCUGGGAGUUGCUCUAUCCCUACGAGGGUUUCUGGAUGUGCAGUUUGCACAUGACCAGUUAGGGAGGAGGAUUGGGCUGGAACUAUGAGGCUUCCAAACUAUUUUAUUAUUCCAAACUGUCUUAUAACUACCUUAUAGCCUUCUGGAGUGUUUAUUGUAUGGCUUGCAGGCCUGAGGAUCAGUGUCAUAAAAGAAGUGCCACUUUUAAGGGGAUUUUCCAAUGGCCAGACCAUUGGAAAUGUGUGGUGCUCCCAACUUGCUGGGAGAGUGCAGGGAUGUGCCAGGGAGUGAAGGAAGCGCAGCAGCCUGGGGAGACAAGAGACCUCUGCAUCCACGUGGAUCCGUACUUACAGUCACAUCCCAGUUUUCAGACUAGAAGUGAAAUAUUUAUCUGCAGACCAACUGGAGAAGAUCUGUCAGUAACAUCCUGAUCCCUACAGGGGGGAUACACCAUUAAUAAGCCACGCUGAGUCAUGCCCUACAGGAAUGGUGCUUUUCUCCGGGGUCACGGCGCGCUGCAGCUAUUCCAGAGCCAUCCCACUUGUUCUGUUUCCCGACUGACCCGGUCAGCAUCUGCCUGUGCUGCUGUCAGAGCGAGUUUACUCCCACCAUGGGGCUGGGAUUUAUAUCUGACAUAUGUUCCUCCUCUUCCCAUCCUCCAGCACUGACACUCCAGCUUUCUUUCCAUGUUUUCUAACAGAAAAAGGAUGUUUUCCAAGCGUGGCCUCGAUUUUGCAAAUCGGACUGGCUGCAUUAUUGAUGCUUUUAGCAGAGCGGAGCCUUCAGCUCUUCAUCCUGCGGGUCCUUUCCCCCUCCAGCCUGCAGCAUGCACACACUCCAAUUUUGGGAUGCCACAAGCCAAGCAAGGGCGAUCCUCCUCUUCUCCAGGGCUUAUUCCAAAGCAAAAUAACAGGAUGAGAAGGAAUGGCCUCAAGUUGCACCAGGGGAGGUUAGAUUAGAUAGCAGGGAAAAUUUCUUCAUGGAUGAGGCUUG